rfam:Ictidomys tridecemlineatus contig051065, whole genome shotgun sequence.
GGGGUUGUGGCUCAGUGAUAGAGCACUCACCUAGCGAGUGUGAGGCCCUGGGUUCAGUCCUCAGCACCUCA